rnacentral:rRNA from 1 species
GACGUAGGAGGCGAGCGUUGUCCGGAUUCAUUGGGCGUAAAGAGCACGCAGGCGGUUUGGCAAGUCGGACGUGAAAAUCCGGGGCUCAACCCCGGACCUGCAUCCGAAACUGCCCGACUAGAGGUAGGUAGGGGAGAAUGGAAUUCCCGGUGUAGCGGUGAAAUGCGCAGAUAUCGGGAGGAACACCGGUGGCGAAGGCGGUUCUCUGGACGGCAACUGACGCUGAGGCACGAAAGCGUGGGGAGCAAACAGG